rnacentral:lncRNA from 1 species
GGAUAUUAUUUUAGUCAUAAGACUAGAGGAACUGAAUGAUUUUCAAAGCGCUGGCUGGCUGACACUGCUUUAGUGAUGCCUGUUCCAAUGAUUCUUUGGCAACAACUUCCAACGCUGCACUUAUGACACAGUAAACAAAAAACUACAUUAAAGGUUUGUUUUUUAAUCAUAAAGAAGUUGAACAUUUCCACUGAGCUUUUUUGCUAUUUAUCAAGAAGCACUGAAGGCUAUUGUAAAGCUUCCAUCCUUGUUUCUCUUACCAAAGAACUGGAGCUGUUUAGCGAAACUGUUUUAGAUCUGGUGAUAAUAAGAAUACUUCAGAAUUCAAGUUUUUUUAUUAAUUCACUGACUUCUUAUCACUAAACCUUUCUAUGUAACAUUUAUUUAUUCACCCACUCUGUGGGGUGAGUAGGACUGGGUGUUUUCUUUUUUUUUUGACUGACAAGUAGAAUGAGGGAGGUUUUCAUUAUCAGCUUCACAUUAAGAGAGGAUGAGAUUUCUCCUUUGCUGAAGCUUCAUAAGCUCUAAUGAGAAUUACCAUUUUGAAUAUUUUCUGAGCUUUUAAAGUGUGUUCACCAUGUGAAUGAGAAGGAAACUUGAUUUAAUAAAUCAGUGAAAUCAUGAACCAGAAUUUUAGAGGCAAACAGUCUUCUGGCUUGCGUGCGUACACACACGUGUGGUGUAUAUACCAACAGGACCCACCUUGGGAGUCUGCACGCGUUCCUGCAAAUAAAACCGC